CAGAACACCAACCUCACUGAUAGCUGAAGGAUGAAUAUCACAGGGCUGGAGCAGCAAGUUGGUUUUCUGAUGCAGGGACUCAGCUAAGCCAUUGUGGAUCCACAUCACAUUAAAAAAUGUCCUUAAUUAUCUACUGGAACUGCAGGUGAACUAAAAGUCUGUUAUUCACUGACUUUGUGUGCAAAGUGGUCUCACAAUUAGUUCAGAUGACACAGCAAAGAGGUAAUGUCUCUGGAAUGACAUUUGCAGUGAAUAAAAGGCUUUUAAGCUGAUGUUAGAAGCGUGAAAUGUCAGCUUUACCCUCGUGUUCCAGGGCUGCCGCUGGGCAGGGACACCAGGCAACUUCACAAGCUGCUUUCUGUCAUCUCUGCCAGAGAGGACAUUUCAGCAGGUUUGGAAGUGAACAAACAAGACUUCCAUGACACCAUAGCAAGGGAUUUGUGACGUUGCUGAGAAGUGCAGUCAUUGCCACUAGGCCCGACUGGCUGGGGUGGCCGCUGCAGGAGCAUCAGGGCAGAGACAGCAGCAGGGGUAUGCGGCUCCUCUCAUGAAAGCCAGUCUGAAGAUGCGCGUGCCCUGCCAGCCCUUCCCGAUGAAGUGCAAAAGGGGAGAAAAGAGCAUUUAAAUGCAAGUCUGCCCUCUGGACAUCCAUGGCAAGGGAGCAAAACCACUGAAACAGAGGAGUUCUGGGUGAGAUGCAGGAGAAUAUUUCUUCUGAACGCCCUGACUCUAGCACAGAGAGAUGACUCCUGGAGAAGUGCUGCUGAAAAAGAAAAAGGGAGAAAAUGAGAUGUCUGCACAACUGUAUCUUACCAAAAGCAAAGCCCUCGCAUGCUGUACUCCUGCUAGCAUGGGUGCUGUAAUACUCAUUUUACCAGGCUAGGGCUGUGUUUGCCUUCUCACGCAGCCACUCUCCUCACUGCGGUGCCCGGUCCCACUGUGGUCCCACUAGAGUGGUGGCACUGGCACUGGUGAUGGGCUCGCUGCUCCUCCUGGCCACACUGAGUGGAGACUGGGUUCUCGUAUCCCUAUGAGACAACAAGGAGCUCACAAGGGAAAGCGUUUUGUGCAGAACACGUCUC